GCCCGCAAGAUUUUGCAAAAAGCUCGGCCCGACUGCAGCUGGUUCUUCCUGGUUUCCCUGGCCUCUAUUGUGGUUGGAGCAUCCCUGCCUGUGUUUGCAGUAUUCUACAGCGAAAUAUUCAAUACAUUCACCCUGGUUGGGCAAGAUAUGCAAGACGCUGCUUUCUUCUGGUCCAUGAUGUUCCUGGUCCUGGCAGCUGCUAGUGGUCUGGGGCACUUCUUCAGAACGCUGGGUGUAGGCAUUGCUGGUGAAAACCUGACAUUCCGCCUGCGGGUGCUGUGUUGGCCAACAUACUGCGGCAACACAUGGGCUGGUUUGAUGAAGACUCCCAUUC
rnacentral:lncRNA from 1 species